CGGCGAGUGAAGCGGCAAAAGCUCAAAUUUGAAGUCUGGCUCUUUUAGGGUCCGAGUUGUAAUUUGUAGAAGAUGUUUCGGGUGUGGCUCCGGUUUAAGUUCUUUGGAAUAUUACAUCAUAGAGGGUGAGAAUCCCGUAUGUGACCGGCAGCCUCCGCCUAUGUGAAACUCUUUCGACGAGUCGAGUUGUUUGGGAAUGCAGCUCAAAAUGGGAGGUAUAUUUCUUCUAAAGCUAAAUAUUGGCCAGAGACCGAUAGCGCACAAGUAGAGUGAUCGAAAGAUGAAAAGCACUUUGGAAAGAGAGUUAAACAGUACGUGAAAUUGUUGAAAGGGAAGCGCUUGCAACCAGACUUGCACGCAGUUGAUCAUCCGGUGUUCUCACCGGGGCACUCUGCUGCGUUCAGGCCAGCAUCGGUUUUGGUGGUUGGAUAAAGGCCUUGGGAAUGUGGCUUCCUUCGGGGAGUGUUAUAGCCCUCGGUGCAAUGCAGCCUACCGGGACCGAGGACCGCGCU
rnacentral:rRNA from 1 species